UAAAAUGCUAUGAAUUGGUAAAGUAAAUUAUAUGGAGUAUCUAAGAGAGGAUUCUAUUGGUGGGAGGAAUCUAUACGAUAUAUAUUUGAAGUGCACCAAUGAGCAUAAAGUCGAAAAAUUUAGUAGACUUAUACGGUGGUUCCCGUUAUAGAACUAGAGUAUGAAAGUACUUGAAUUGAGCUGGGGAUUACCUCAAGCAGAGUGGAACCGCGAAACUUACCUUUUGCCUCUGUA
rnacentral:ncRNA from 1 species